AACGAACGCUGGCGGCAGGCCUAACACAUGCAAGUCGGACGGUAGCACAGAGGGCUUGCUCUUGGGUGACGAGUGGCGGACGGGUGAGUAAUGUCUGGGGAUCUGCCCGAUAGAGGGGGAUAACCACUGGAAACGGUGGCUAAUACCGCAUAACGUCGCAAGACCAAAGAGGGGGACCUUCGGGCCUCUCACUAUCGGAUGAACCCAGAUGGGAUUAGCUAGUAGGCGGGGUAAUGGCCCACCUAGGCGACGAUCCCUAGCUGGUCUGAGAGGAUGACCAGCCACACUGGAACUGAGACACGGGCCAGACUCCUACGGGAGGCAGCAGUGGGGAAUAUUGCACAAUGGGCGCAAGCCUGAUGCAGCCAUGCCGCGUGUAUGAAGAAGGCCUUCGGGUUGUAAAGUACUUUCAGCGGGGAGGAAGGCGGUACGGUUAAUAACCGUACCGAUUGACGUUACCCGCAGAAGAAGCACCGGCUAACUCCGUGCCAGCCGCCGCCGUAA
rnacentral:rRNA from 1 species